AGGAAGUAAAAGAGUCUCGUCUCAGAAGUCUUCACCAAAAGAUAUCACUGUUCCGAACUAAACAGGUGGACGAGAAAAUUGUGCUCAAUAUGAAAAUGAAGGAUCAAGAGAGGAUUGACUUCGUUGAAUUUCUGUCUGUGACUACAAGUACCAUGCAAGGAAUUAUCCAA